AGAAGAUUUGCUUUUAGAGUUCUGCCCUCAGUUUGCAGAGAGCUCCUUCAUGCUGAAUUAAUUUGUUCUCUGUCAAACCUGUUUUGUUUUUCGCUGGAGCCCUGGGAGUGGGAGAACCCAACUCCCAGAAAUGUGUGUGCAUCUCUUCUCCUGCGUGGGGCACUCCCGUGCCAAUAAAUCCAAACCAUCACCCUGCAAACCCUCUGAAGGAACACAGCCCUCCCAGCCUCAGCUGCAUCCAGGGAUGGCUCUGGAGCCCAGCCAUUCCCAAGGGAUGUGGUUCCAGCCAGCGUUCUGGGCCAUCCACAAAGCCAUUCCCUUCAUUUGGCCGGGAAAAACUCCUUGAAUUUUGGGAGAUGUGGAGCCUUCUCCUCCUUUUCCUCUCCUGUCCUCUGGCAGGCAGGAGCUAAAGGUGGUGGGAUGCUGCAGGGACAGUUCUGUUCUCUCUUAUAAUGUGGUUUGUGUUGGGGACAGUGUUGGAAACUGGGAAAACAGGUUACUCAGAGCCUGCUACUAA